UACGUAGGGUGCGAGCGUUGUCCGGAAUUAUUGGGCGUAAAGAGCUCGUAGGCGGUGUGUCACGUCGGCCGUGAAAACCUGCAGCUUAACUGUGGGCGUGCGGUCGAUACGGGCAUCACUGGAGUUCGGCAGGGGAGACUGGAAUUCCUGGUGUAGCGGUGAAAUGCGUAGAUAUCAGGAGGAACACCGAUGGCGAAGGCAGGUCUCUGGGCUGACACUGACGCUCAUGCACGAAAGCGUGGGGAGCAAACAGG
rnacentral:rRNA from 1 species